rnacentral:rRNA from 1 species
GACGAACGCUGGCGGCGUGCUUAACACAUGCAAGUCGAGCGGUAAGGCCCAGCUUGCUGGGUACACGAGCGGCGAACGGGUGAGUAACACGUGGGUGACCUGCCCUCAGCUCUGGGAUAAGCCUGGGAAACUGGGUCUAAUACCGGAUGUUCACUUUCUGCUGCAUGGUGGGGAGUAGAAAGUUUUUCGGCUGGGGAUGGGCCCGCGGCCUAUCAGCUUGUUGGUGGGGUGAUGGCCUACCAAGGCGACGACGGGUAGCCGGCCUGAGAGGGCGACCGGCCACACUGGGACUGAGACACGGCCCAGACUCCUACGGGAGGCAGCAGUGGGGAAUAUUGCGCAAUGGGCGGGAGCCUGACGCAGCGACGCCGCGUGGGGAUGACGGCCU